rnacentral:rRNA from 1 species
UACGUAGGGUGCAAGCGUUGUCCGGAAUUAUUGGGCGUAAAGAGCUCGUAGGCGGUCUGUCGCGUCUGCUGUGAAAACCUGGGGCUUAACCCCGGGCCUGCAGUGGGUACGGGCAGACUAGAGUGCGGUAGGGGAGACUGGAAUUCCUGGUGUAGCGGUGAAAUGCGUAGAGAUCAGGAAGAACACCAGUGGCGAAGGCAGCUCGCUGGGACGUUACUGACGCUGAGACGCGAAAGCGUGGGGAGCAAACAGG